AUUUUCAGUAUUUCAAUAAUAUAAUAUAAUAAUAAUAAUUUUUUUAAUUGAACUGGCAAAAACAUUUCAGUUGCAGCUUUUGUUGAUUCCCUUUUUAUAUCAUUACAGAAAAGUGAUAAUUAUGCAUGAAAGUAGUAAAAUUCUCUAAUCCAAAGCUGCAAAUAAAAAUAUCUUCUCCAAAAUUCAAUGAAAAUGAAUCCCAAGUUCCAGUAUGCAUCUGUUUCUUAAUUGCUAUUUAACUGUGAAUUAUUUGCAUUUUACAAUUGUCAAGUAGGAAAAUUUAGUUUUUUAAAAAAUUUUAAAUAUUAUUAUUGACUAUUAAAAUUGUAUUUCAUUUAUUUAUGUGACAAAAGUAUUAAAAGGAACUGAAUAAAACUGUUUCUUAUUUCAAUAUAAUAUUGUUUUUGUUUUGUGUAAGAAUUACUAGAUAAAAAUUUAAAAGAAAAAAUUUCUUCUCAUUACAAAUAUAUAUUACCCAAAUUAUAAACAAUUUAUUCUGAUUUUAUUUAUAGUUAUUCAAGAUCGAUCUUGUUCUUUGAUGGGAUUCUAUUCUCUGGGAAACGCCACUACUGGAACUGGAUUGAGAAGAAAGAUUUACAAUUGCAGUUACUGUUCUUAUACAGCAAAACAAUUAAUUCAUCUAAAAGAGCACAUUAUUUACAUUCAUACUCGAAAUUUUCCUUUCAUCUGUUCUGUAUGUGGAAGAGGGUUUACAGCUAUGCAUCGUUUAAAAGCUCAUCAAAUGUAAGGAGUUGGAUGGGUGCUCAAUAAAAUCAGCUUCACUGAGCAAUCAGUCGAAGAAGAAGAAAAAGAAGCAAGUUCCACAACCGGACCAUCUUCCACAAAGAAGACAUAAGAAAGAAAAAUGUCUUCAUUGUCAGAAACGAUUCUCUCGUUGGAGAUGUAGAAAAUGUUGUGUAUUUUUAUGCAUGAAGAAGAAUGGAGUUUCUUGCUACCAGUCUUAUCACAAGAAAAUUUUGGGAGAACAAUCAAUGGAAGCAUUCACUAUUACUCUGGAACAAAAUCAUCAAAUGAAAGUUUUGAAGAAACUAUUUAAAAAAGUUGGAAUUUAAACAUUCCUAAAAAAUAUAUAUAUACUGUUUCAUAACAUUAAUGUAGCCAAAACUGUUUAUAAAUGUUGUUGUUUUUGUAUACAUUCUUUUUAUUUUGUUUGACUUCUUUUUCUUUUAAUAUUUUUAUAUUCUAUAAUGCAUUUAUACUUGAAUUGCAGUUUAUUAUUUAAAUUUGUUAUGAUAUUUUUUGUUAUUUUAUAUUUGUAAUUGUUAUGAAUUUUUCUAGAUCCUUUAGUGCAACUCCUCAGAAAUCCUAAGAGAUAUUUUCAGCAAAUGCAUAUUAAUGACAUUCUUUUAAAAAAAAAAAAGAUUUUUUGCACCAUUUUAGUGUAUUUUGUUCCAUUACUAUCUACUGGCAACUAAUUUCUGUAUUUCAAAAUUUUUUUGAUGUAUAUUAGUGUGUAAUUAAUUUUAUUUACAUUUAAUCUACAAGUUUUCUUACGUAUGUGCAAGGAGACAUUAUUAAUUUUUUCUAUAUUUUGACUCAAAAAAUAUUCUUUUAGCUAUUAUUAUACAUAGAUAAUUUUGUAAAAAUUUCACUGUAAGAAAAAGUGGAUGUAGUAUAAGGCAACUACUUCUUUCUUUGUAAAAUGAAUGCAGUGAUUUUUUAUUUGUGGCAAAUGAAUAUUUUAUAUAAAUCCAGAUGGUAUACAUUUCUGUUAAACAAUUUAAUAAAUUUAACAGCAUACUUGUUGUGUUAUAAAAUAUUAUUAUUGAUUAGUCUUAAUAUAAAUCCUCUGAAUCCUAUGAUUCAAUGAAAUAUAUGAUUCAUUGUAAACUAUCCUUUAUCAGAAGUGUAAAUAUUGAUGUGUUUGAAAUAUGUGCAAGUUAGUAACUUAUAUUAUUUGUACCACCGUUACUUUUUAUAUGCAAUUUAUAUGGAUAAUAUAUUCUCCUUGUAACUACUAUUAUUUUUAUUUACUUUUAUUCUGAUAUUUUAUUCGCAUUUAUUUUAUUUACUUUUAUUCUAAGGAUAGUUAAUGGCAUUAUUUUAAACUAAUUAUAGAAAUAUUUAUCAUAAACGAGCAUAAAUAACUAAAUAAUAUAUACUAAAAGUAUCUUAUAAUUUAAAAAUAAAUAAUAUGUACUACACAUUUCCAGUAACAGGUUUGAUUACUUUUUAAAUAAAUUAUGGGCAUUAUGAAAUGUGAAAAAAAUGGCUACAUUGCUGGAUGGUUUUCACUGUAAAUGCAGCAAACACUGCCAUGCCACUUACCAACUAUGCUUGGCCAUCUCUGUAAAUGAUAUGAGAAACAUCUUUUGGGGGGAGGGGCUGUAAAAUAUUUGAAAAAUAAAAGAAUUUGAAUUAAAAAUGCUUGGUAAAAAAAUUAUUUAUUUCAAUGUGUAUUUAUCUUUUUUACUAGUACAUUUAUCAUAUUUGAAAAAUAACAGUUUAGUUAUUUCUUUGUCAGUGAUCAUUAUUGUCAGAGCAGAUAUCGUCAAAAUUCAUGCUUGUUCUGAGAUAAAAAUUUCUGUUGUUGACAGAGCAUUCUGAUCAUGCUUUGUUAACUGAUAAUGUAAAAAUAAUUUAAACAUUGUAA